rnacentral:rRNA from 1 species
GACGAACGCUGGCGGCGUGCUUAACACAUGCAAGUCGAACGGAAAGGCCCUGCUUUUGUGGGGUGCUCGAGUGGCGAACGGGUGAGUAACACGUGAGUAACCUGCCCUUGACUUUGGGAUAACUUCAGGAAACUGGGGCUAAUACCGGAUAGGAGCUCCUGCUGCAUGGUGGGGGUUGGAAAGUUUCGGCGGUUGGGGAUGGACUCGCGGCUUAUCAGCUUGUUGGUGGGGUAGUGGCUUACCAAGGCUUUGACGGGUAGCCGGCCUGAGAGGGUGACCGGCCACAUUGGGACUGAGGUACGGCCCAGACUCCUACGGUAGGCAGCAGUGGGGAAUAUUGCACAAUGGGCGGAAGCCUGAUGCAGCAACGCCGCGUUCGGGAUGACGGCCUUCGGGUUGUAAACCGCUUUCGCCUGUGACGAAGCGUGAGUGACGGUAAUGGGUAAAGAAGCACCGGCUAACUACGUG